rnacentral:rRNA from 1 species
CCCUUAGAUGUUCUGGGCGGCCCGCGCACUACAUUGGCACUCUCAAUAAGUUCCUAGAUCUAAAACUUUGGGGUAUUCUAUUAAGUGGUGUCGUGACUGGGAUUAGCCCUUGCAAUUAUUGGUUACGAACGAGGAAUUCCUUGUAAUCGCGGUUUAUCAGCCCGCGUUGAAUGCGUCCCUGCCCUUUGUACACACCGCCCGUCGCUCCUACCGAUGAAUCGUCCGGUGAAGUUCAUGGAGUGGUGGUUGUUCCAGCUGCUGUCGAAGUGAAAUGGACCUCACGAUUUAGAGGAAGGAGAAGUCGUAACA